AGUGAACGCUGGCGGCGUGCUUAACACAUGCAAGUCGAACGAGAAACGGAUUUAGCUUGCUAAAUUGCAGUCUAAGUGGCGCACGGGUGAGUAAUGUAUAGGUAAUAUGCCUCUUACUAAGGGAUAACAAUUGGAAACGAUUGCUAAUACCUUAUAUGCCUUUAAUACGAAAGAAUGCAAGGGAAAGAUUUAUUGGUAAGAGAUUAGCCUGUAUGGUAUCAGCUUGUUGGUGAGGUAAUGGCUCACCAAGGCUAUGACGCCUAACUGGUUUGAGAGGAUGAUCAGUCACACUGGAACUGAGACACGGUCCAGACUCCUACGGGAGGCAGCAGUGGGGAAUAUUGCACAAUGGACGAAAGUCUGAUGCAGCAACGCCGCGUGGAGGAUGACACAUUUCGGUGCGUAAACUCCUUUUAUAUAGGGAGAUAAUGACGGUACUAUAUGAAUAAGCACCGGCUAACUCCGUGCCAGCAGCCGCCGUAA
rnacentral:rRNA from 1 species